GUGAAACUAGAAUCAAAAGCUCAUAAAUAACAGGGUUUUCAACCAGCACAUAAAAGGACGUUGUGAAUAAAAAUACAACAAACUGAUCCAACACAAUACAAGAUGACUCUGGAAUGUACACUUCUUAAACUUACAGUUGGGAAAACGGCAGUGGUAUUUUUGUCAACUUGUAUUUCUACAGCCAUCAUCACCUUCACAUCAGGUGUGACAGCCAUCGUGGGAAUGUAUCUGUACAAGAAGGGUAAGUUUCUCUAUUUCUGAGUAUGAAACAUGAAUACACACCAUCGCUGUUCACUUUAGAAAAAUUACAAUAGGCAAAACAUGUGAGUGUUUUCGCUUUUCAGAUAAGCCUGUACUAUAACCAGUCUCUACAGAAAUACUGUAAUAUUUUCAUUUUCAAAUGAAAUUGUCCCAAAAAGCACAGGAAUCAGUCAUGAAUACAUUCCCUAAAUUUUACAUCCCUGUUACCCUGACUGUUGUCUGUUUACCUGUACUUGUAGGUGGCCACCAUGAGGCACAAAGAUAAAUAAAUACAAGGCGGCGCCUCUGGAAGACAUCAUGAAGGCGGCUGUGACCUGAUCUUGUGAUCUUGUUCUCUCUCUGCCUCUGGCUGGAGCCCCCGCAACUGACGGUUGACUGCAAUGCUUGUCGUUCAUAAUGAAUUCUAGAUUGGUUUGGGUUCAUUUAUGGCAAAUAAAUAUCAUUAUACUUUA